rnacentral:rRNA from 1 species
ACCCUCGGGGAUAGAACGUUAAAUGCAUCAGUUCCCAUUGGACCACUAAAGUUAAGAAUGAAGCAACGUUGCUCAUGGUUGGUAUGCGAAUAGGUGACCAUCUGGGCAAUCGCGUGCUCCUGGCUU